rnacentral:misc_RNA from 1 species
GGUUCAAGCUUUGGGCUUUCUUCAAUCGGCUGAAGAUUUUUUGGCUGGAGUUUCAGUUAGAUCGAUCAUUAAUCUUGGAUUUUUGGGCUGGAGUUUCUGCUUUAUUUGGCUACUAUAGAAUGCUAGAGAUUUUGCAUUUUGUGGUGUAACCUUCUUGUGGUUGUGAAGUAUAUGUGUGAUCCAGUUCUGCAAACGUUUGCUGCAUAAUUAUCCGGGUCAAUUGUCAGCGGCAUCACUGCUUCUGUGAGUUGGGCUGAUGCUUUUAAGGGGCCUUUUUCUACAGAAAUUGCUGCAUAUUUUCAUGCUUCCGUAUGGGAUUAUUCAUAUGUCAGACCUUCGGCUUUGUUUUGGUGAUUGGUUUGUCUAUAUUGUUGGCUCUGUUUGAUGUCUAUUGUACUGCAAUUUACUGAUGUUGUGCUUGUGAAGGAUGGUUUGUACAUCUGUCCAUGUUUUUCUCUUAGCUUGCCAUUGCCUAGGUUGGGCGCAAGGGAAUGGCCUAUUAGCUUGGUAUUAGUUGGCAAUGUCCAUGCUAGUUCAUCCUUGUUU